rnacentral:lncRNA from 1 species
CGCGAGUGUCUUCGUCAAGACGAAAUAUUUGCCAUUUGUUUCCGAGACGCUGACUGAAAGUGUUUUCCAAAUUCAUUACGAAAUUGCGGUGUCGAUCUACAUUUUCAGCCAUGAAAUGAAAUCUGGCAUAUAAUUUCCCUUGGCCAAAUAAUGUGACCACUUGAGUCGAAACUGCUGUGCCGAAAUGUCGGCCAUUGUUAGCUGUACCUAUUCGGCUGUACGUCUCAUCUCGUGCAAAAACACUUCAGAAGCUAGUAAAGUAAUUUUGUUGAUAAAUUUCCCUGCAAUAAUGCAAUAGGUUUUAUUAGUUUAUGUUUAGGUCAGAGACGGAGAUCCCUUUGCUCAACUGUUGCAGAAAUUGAGAACACAACAAAGUCUGAGCCUCAUGGCUGUCAUAUCAUUAACCUGGUUUUGUUGCAGCUAGCUGGUAAAGGUUUGAUGGGGGUCAAGUUGAGCAGCAGCUGCUGCAUGCAGUUUAUCAAGCUGGUGUUAUCCAAAGUGUCACCCCAAGAAGACUUCUUGAAUUGGAGUUCAUGGUCGGUUUGAUGUUUAUGGUGUUGCUGUGUGGUGUACAGUGGUUUUGCAGCCCCUUUCCAGUUGAGAGAUGCUCUGAAGUGGAGUUUGUGCAGACUUGCAGUUCAACAUAACACUUAAAUGUCUCGUUUGUCUAUGUUGGUCUCCAUGCUCUAUGCAUUGUUGAACAGUUGGAUGUCGGUAUUUUAUCGGUUGCAUUUUGUCGAUAUGUUGUCUCUUGGUACCGGCGUUGAGUUGAAUCGUUUGCUGCCGUUCCAUAGACUUGAUCCAUUGGUAAAACUGAGGAGAAGUUGCUGAAAUUCAAGACUCGUCAAUAAAAUUAUGUAGAUGUAGACAAAUUACAAGUGCAUAUCUGGGCUCCCUUCUUCAGUGGCCCCGUUUCCCUAA